UACGUAGGGGGCUAGCGUUGUCCGGAAUCAUUGGGCGUAAAGCGCGUGUAGGCGGUUCGGUAAGUCCGCUGUGAAAGUCGGGGGCUCAACCCUCGGAUGCCGGUGGAUACUGUCGGACUAGAGUACGGAAGAGGCGAGUGGAAUUCCUGGUGUAGCGGUGAAAUGCGCAGAUACCAGGAGGAACACCGAUUGCGAAGGCAGCUCGCUGGGACGUUACUGACGCUGAGACGCGAAAGCGUGGGGAGCAAACAGG
rnacentral:rRNA from 1 species